rnacentral:rRNA from 1 species
UUGAACGCUGGCGGCAGGCCUAACACAUGCAAGUCGAGCGGCAGCGCGGGGCAACCUGGCGGCGAGCGGCGGACGGGUGAGUAACGCGUAGGAAUCUACCCAGUAGCGGGGGAUAGCCCGGGGAAACUCGGAUUAAUACCGCAUACGCCCUAAGGGGGAAAGCAGGGGAUCUUCGGACCUUGCACUAUUGGCAGAGCCUGCGUUGGAUUAGCUAGUUGGUAGGGUAAAGGCCUACCAAGGCAACGAUCCAUAACUGGUCUGAGAGGAUGAUCAGUCACACCGGAACUGAGACACGGUCCGGACUCCUACGGGAGGCAGCAGUGGGGAAUAUUGGACAAUGGGGGCAACCCUGAUCCAGCCAUGCCGCGUGUGUGAAGAAGGCCUUCGGGUUGUAGAGCACUUUAAGUGGGGAGAAAGGUUCGGCAGUUAAUACCUGCCGGAAGUGAUGUUACCCACAGAAUAAGCACCGGCUAACUCUGUGCCAGCCGCCGCGGUAA